rnacentral:rRNA from 1 species
UACGUAGGUGGCAAGCGUUGUCCGGAAUUAUUGGGCGUAAAGCGCGCGCAGGCGGCCUUUUAAGUCUGAUGUGAAAGCCCACGGCUCAACCGUGGAAGGUCAUUGGAAACUGAAAGGCUUGAGUACAGAAGAGGAAAGCGGAAUUCCACGUGUAGCGGUGAAAUGCGUAGAGAUGUGGAGGAACACCAGUGGCGAAGGCGGCUUUCUGGUCUGUAACUGACGCUGAGGCGCGAAAGCUAGGGGAGCAAACGGG